rnacentral:rRNA from 1 species
GAUGAACGCUGGCGGCGUGCUUAACACAUGCAAGUCGAACGAAGCACUUUUACAGAUUUCUUCGGAAUGAAGUUUUAGUGACUGAGUGGCGGACGGUGAGUAACGCGUGGGUAACCUGCCUCACACAGGGGGAUAACAGUUGGAAACGGCUGCUAAUACCGCAUAAGCGCACAGUACCGCAUGGUACAGUGUGAAAAAACUCCGGUGGUGUGAGAUGGACCCGCGUCUGAUUAGCUAGUUGGCAGGGCAACGGCCUACCAAGGCGACGAUCAGUAGCCGACCUGAGAGGUGACCGGCACGAUUGGGACUGAGACA